UACAGAGGUCCCAAGCGUUGUUCGGAUUCACUGGGCGUAAAGGGUGCGUAGGUGGUUUGGCAAGUCUGAUGUGAAAGCCCCGGGCCCAACCCGGGAAUGGCAUCGGAAACUGCUCGGCUAGAGGGUUGGAGGGGGGACUGGAAUUCCCGGUGUAGCAGUGAAAUGCGUAGAUAUCGGGAGGAACGCCAGUGGCGAAGGCGAGUCCCUGGACAACCCCUGACACUGAGGCACGAAAGCUUGGGGAGCAAACAGG
rnacentral:rRNA from 1 species